GAUGACAAGGACGGCGCCUUUCUGUAGGAUGGGAGGGCGCCGGCCUGCUGUCCCAGGACUGGGGGAAACACGCUGGGCACGGACCAGGGAAGACAAGCGGAGCCCGCAGGUGGAGGGACAAUGACCAGGAGCAGCGACGGAGGUGGACGUGGGGAGGUUAACGGAGGGAGGAGCCCAGGCUUGAAUUGGCCACUUUCUCCCUUAAAAUUGAAAAUUGACUCAUGUGAGGGAGGAAGCAGAGGCGUGGGCGGUUAAGGAGAGAGGGGAGGUCAGGACCCACAUGCACAGGCCACAGCGCAGCACCGGGGCACAGCUGCAGCGGGGACCCCUCCCCCAGCCAAGCCCGGCAGUCCGCUCUGGAAGCAAGAAGAAGGACCGUGGGAUUUGUCCAGGGUCUCUCGGAUGCCGGACGUGGUGGUGCAUGCCUGUGUCCCAGAACUAGGGAGCUGAGGAAGGAGGAUCACUUUGAAUCAAAGGCCAGCCUGGUCUACAUGGGUUUGCGUGCUUGCCUGGAAAGGUUUGCAUGGCUUGACGUGAGCAGGCGGGAGUUUGAUGGUCUGCAGUUCUCAGUGUCACCCCGCAGUCGCUCCUCGACUUCUCUGCCAUCUUUAAUGGCUCCUGUGCUUCAACAGGUGAGACACGAAGCCCACCGUACAAGACAAUGCUUGGUGCUCAUGACUGUGGGACCCAGGACUGUUCUCAUUCCCGGAGGAGAAAGUGGAUGAAGAAAAUAGGAAAUUAGUAGCACCGAGCCUACGAUGCGAGGGCAGGCCGAAUCCCAGGCUCACAUGGUGUCCUGGGGAGUCUAUUCCGCCGCUCCUGGGCUGCCUUCUCUCGCGUCCUGCUCCUUUACCAGACUCCAGGUUGGCUGCUGAAAGCUCCAGAUUCAUACCUGACAACUCAGGCAGUGAAACACACUUCUUCUUCUGUAGCCAAGUGAAAACCCUGAGAACGGAAUGCUGAGCCCACACAGGGAAGAUGUCCAUGCGCGAGUCACCAACACCAGGACGCUGACCCACCCGCCCUGGGCGUGAAACCUGACUGUCCCCUAGACCCCUGGGCUGGGAGCCAGGGAGGGAUGGGGAAGUCGGGAAACCACGGUGAAAGAGGGGACAAGGCGCCUCUGCCUUGCCUCGUUUCCUUCCACUGAGGCUGCGGGGGCGCCUUCCUCUCCCUUGAGCAUCCAAGGGUCAUCAUCUCUGUGGAGCACAAGGUGCCACCCACAUGGCUACUCUCUCACGAACACUCCCUACCUUAUUUUGGAUGGAGGCCACCACCCCUCAUCGUGCGGAUCUCUUUAAUUCUCUUUUUUAGUGUCUAUUUUCUUUGUGUACUUCUGUGGUGUAAUUUACUUGCCUAUUGUGUGUAUUGUUAUUUUGUGACCAAAACAUUUUCCCUCCCUCUCGAAUCUUCAUGAAGCCCACCAGAAAGGCACUGUUGACCCACACAAGGUUCCCUGGCAUCAGAAAGUGAUCGGCUAGUGUUGUGCACUAGAUUGAGCUCAGGCUAAGAGGCCAGCUGCGGUGUAGCUGGGUACACCAGAUGUCUUAUCUGGUAGACCACUGAAAGAGAGGUUCAGUCUUUGUAUUUUACAGCUCAUUUUAGAAGGAGAGACCUUAGUCACCUAGGCUAACAUCAGGGUGCACGAUGGGCCUAUGUGUGGACAGCUCUGGCUUUGCAUUUGGGGUUCUCUUUCCAUUUACCUGAGCCAGUGUCUGGCUUCUCUCUGGGACCCGAACAGGAUUGAGUUGAUCCAGGGGAGCUCUGGAGCCCAAAGCCCACUUUCCAUUUGGUUUCAUGAGGAAUAAAUGUUUGCUCCUCGCUCUGCUGGGGCUGAAGCAGUUGGCAUGUGCUGUGGUGAGGUGCAAAGUGGGCUCGGUCAGCAGUGGGUGGGAUGACCCAGAGCCUCCUGGAAGGAAGCUGCCGGCAUUUGGAAGAACUCAUGCCCGGAAGCACUGCCCAGGGUUAGUCCUUCGGUGCUUUUGAGAGGGCUUCACUCUAACUCAACAGUGGAUAAGCUAAGUGGUGCAGGGCGAAAGCAGAAUGGAGGAGGUGACCCUGAAUUAACACCAAGGCUGUCUUGCCCCGGAGAGCUCCAGGACACAGAUCCUUGGGAAUGUCUGUCCUUGCCAGUGACCUCGAGUGUUUAUCUAGCUGUCCGCUGAAGGUUCACCCUGACAUUUCAGCAGCGAGGCAGAGCUUAGGGAUUUACGGUGUUGGUUUGGGCAAGAGAAAGGGGCCCCUCCCUGGGGCUCAGCAAGAAACACAGUGCAGGAAACCCCCGUUGUCUCACACCACGCAACGUGGGGGCUGAGCUCCCCACCCCGUGAGUGUCCCCAAGGUGACCACGUGGAGGUCAGCCACAGGCAGCCCCUUGUGCCCUGACAAGGAGCUCAGGGAGGUAGGAAGGAGGCAGGAACCAGGCAGAGGAUGCUUCCUGUGCAGAGAUCUCUGCCUCGACAGAGAGGGCGGUAGGAAAGGGUGGUUUAAGGGAGAAAAUGCUUCUCUGUGCAUUCAAAGAGAAUUUUAAAAACCGUUUAGUAAUGAGGAAGUAUCUGUGCAGAGCCGGGAGGGACAGAUAGGAAGAGAUGCCCGGGGGGAGGAGAUCUCUGCUUUCCAAUUGACCACACUCUACACUGUUUGCUUAAAUUAUCUUUCAUAUCUAUUGUUUUUUAAUGGAAACAUUUACAAAAGGCUGCUUUAAUUAAAACAAAACAAGU